rnacentral:rRNA from 1 species
GACGUAGGGCGCGAGCGUUGUCCGGAUUUAUUGGGCGUAAAGAGCGUGUAGGCGGCCAGGUAGGUCUGGUGUGAAAACUCGAGGCUUAACCUCGAGAUGUCAUCGGAAACCAUCUGGCUAGAGUCCGGAAGAGGAGAGUGGAAUUCCUGGUGUAGCGGUGAAAUGCGCAGAUAUCAGGAAGAACACCAAUGGCGAAAGCAGCUCUCUGGGACGGUACUGACGCUGAGACGCGAAGCGUGGGGAGCGAACAGG